UGAGGUGUGGCUCAGUGGUCUAGCACUUGCCUUUCAGGCACAAGACCCUGGGUUAAGUUCCCAGCACCACAA
rnacentral:tRNA from 1 species